UGCGCUUCUGAAAGAUAAAAUAGAUGAAGCCAGGCCUUUAGCUAAUGGUGCUUGUAUUCUUAAAAUAGGACCCUUGUAGACAGUUUCUGUCAGUCCAUGUUUUGGGUACUUAGCAUAUACUGCCUUCUAUAAUUAAUCAUCUUUUCCUGUAUCCAGAGACAGUCCCUGGCUAAUGCAGCUUCUGCAGGAAUAUUCCUUUCUUCCUCGCUGCCCUAAAAUGGCUAGGAGAAAAGUAGCAGCAGCCUGAGAUCAUGCAUGUCUGAAGAAAUGCUGAAGAUACAUGAGGCCAUAGGACAGGUAUCCUUCUUCUACCAUGAGCUUCCUCUCUGUCUCCCUGGCCUCUAGCUCCUUAACCUCCCCAAACUACCAGCUUGAAUUUGUAUGGGGCCCACCAGACUACUGGCCUGCCAUGACUGGGAAGAAUAUAGUCCAUAGAGGCUGGUCAUAAGCUGACACAACAUGAGUCC